CUAGACAACUCUCUCUAAGAAACUCGGCAAAAUAACCCCGUAACUUCGGGAGAAGGGGUGCCCCCUCACAAAAGGGGGUCGUAGUUACCAGGCCCGGGCGACUGUUUACCAAAAACACAAGUCUCCGCAAAGUCGUAAGACCAUGUAUGGGGGCUGACGCCUGCCAAGUGCCGGAAGGUCAAGGAAGUUGGUGAACUGAUGACAGGGAAGCCGGCGACCGAAGCCCCGGUGAACGGCGGCCGUAACUAUAAUGUUACUAAGGUAGCGAAAUUCUUUGUCGAAUAAGUUCCGACCCACACGAAAGGCGUAACGAUCUGGGCACUGUUUGGGAGAGAGGCUCGGUGAAAUGUACAUGUCUGUGAAGACGCGGAC
rnacentral:rRNA from 16 species